AGUGCAUGUGGUGGAUGCCUUGGCAGUCAGAGGCGAUGAAAGACGUGAUAGCCUGCGAAAAGCUCCGGGGAGGCGGCAAAUAUCCUUUGAUCCGGAGAUGUCUGAAUGGGGGAACCCACCUACUUUAAGGUAGGUAUUGCAACAUGAAUACAUAGUGUUGCAAGGCGAACGAGGGGAAGUGAAACAUCUCAGUACCCUUAGGAAAAGAAAUCAAUUGAGAUUCCCUCAGUAGCGGCGAGCGAACGGGGAUCAGCCCAUUAAGUUAUGUGUGUUUUAGUGGAACGCUCUGGGAAGUGCGAACGUAGAGGGUGAUAUUCCCGUACACGAAAGGGCACACAUAAUGAUGACGAGUAGGGCGAGGCACGUGAAACCUUGUCUGAAUAUGGGGGGACCAUCCUCCAAGGCUAAAUACUCCUGACUGACCGAUAGUGAACCAGUACCGUGAGGGAAAGGCGAAAAGAACCCCUGUGAGGGGAGUGAAAUAGAUCCUGAAACCGCAUGCAUACAAGCAGUGGGAGCACCUUCGUGGUGUGACUGCGUACCUUUUGUAUAAUGGGUCAGCGACUUAUAUUCAGUAGCGAGGUUAACCGUAUAGGGGAGCCGUAGAGAAAUCGAGUCUUAAUAGGGCGUUUAGUUGCUGGGUAUAGACCCGAAACCAGGCGAUCUAUCCAUGAGCAGGUUGAAGGUUGGGUAACACUAACUGGAGGACCGAACCCACUGUCGUUGAAAAGCCAGGGGAUGACUUGUGGAUAGGGGUGAAAGGCUAAUCAAGCCUGGUGAUAGCUGGUUCUCCCCGAAAGCUAUUUAGGUAGCGCCUCGGACGAAUACCAUAGGGGGUAGAGCACUGUUUCGGCUAGGGGGUCAUCCCGACUUACCAAACCGAUGCAAACUCCGAAUACCCAGAAGUGCCGAGCAUGGGAGACACACGGCGGGUGCUAACGUCCGUCGUGAAAAGGGAAACAACCCAGACCGCCAGCUAAGGUCCCAAAGUUGUGGUUAAGUGGUAAACGAUGUGGGAAGGCUUAGACAGCUAGGAGGUUGGCUUAGAAGCAGCCACCCUUUAAAGAAAGCGUAAUAGCUCACUAGUCGAGUCGGCCUGCGCGGAAGAUGUAACGGGGCUAAAACUAUGUGCCGAAGCUGCGGAUGUAUACUUUGUAUACGUGGUAGGGGAGCGUUCUGUAAGCCGAUGAAGGUGUGUUGAGAAGCAUGCUGGAGGUAUCAGAAGUGCGAAUGCUGACGUGAGUAACGACAAAACGGGUGAAAAACCCGUUCGCCGAAAGACCAAGGGUUCCAGUCCAACGUUAAUCGGGGCUGGGUGAGUCGACCCCUAAGGCGAGGCCGAAAGGCGUAGUCGAUGGGAAAAUGGUUAAUAUUCCAUUACUUCUGUGUAAUGCGAUGAGAGGACGGAGAAGGCUAAAUCAGCCUGGCGUUGGUUGUCCAGGUGAAAGGAUGUAGGCAUGUAUCUUAGGCAAAUCCGGGGUACUCUAUGCUGAGAUCUGAUAGCAAGCUGUACUUGUACAGCGAAGUGGUUGAUGCCAUGCUUCCAGGAAAAGUCUCUAAGCUUCAGUUACACAGGAAUCGUACCCGAAACCGACACAGGUGGUCAGGUCGAGUAGACCAAGGCGCUUGAGAGAACUCUGCUGAAGGAACUAGGCAAAAUGGUACCGUAACUUCGGGAGAAGGUACGCUGUUGUUGGUGAUGGAACUCGCUUCCUGAGCUGACGACAGCCGCAGAAACCAGGCCGCUGCAACUGUUUAUUAAAAACAUAGCACUCUGCAAACACGAAAGUGGACGUAUAGGGUGUGAUGCCUGCCCGGUGCUGGAAGGUUAAUUGAUGGGGUUAGCGUAAGCGAAGCUCUUGAUCGAAGCCCCAGUAAACGGCGGCCGUAACUAUAACGGUCCUAAGGUAGCGAAAUUCCUUGUCGGGUAAGUUCCGACCUGCACGAAUGGCAUAAUGAUGGCGGCGCUGUCUCCAGCAGAGGCUCAGUGAAAUCGAAAUCGCUGUGAAGAUGCAGUGUACCCGCGGCUAGACGGAAAGACCCCGUGAACCUUUACUGCAGCUUGACACUGAACUUUGACCUUACUUGUGUAGGAUAGGUGGGAGGCUUUGAAGCUGGAACGCUAGUUCCAGUGGAGCCGUCCUUGAAAUACCACCCUGGUAAUGUUGAGGUUCUAACUCUGUCCCGUGAUCCGGGACGAGGACCGUGUCUGGUGGGUAGUUUGACUGGGGCGGUCUCCUCCUAAAGAGUAACGGAGGAGUACGAAGGUGCGCUCAGACCGGUCGGAAAUCGGUCGCAGAGUAUAAAGGCAAAAGCGCGCUUGACUGCGAGACAGACACGUCGAGCAGGUACGAAAGUAGGGCUUAGUGAUCCGGUGGUUCUGUAUGGAAGGGCCAUCGCUCAACGGAUAAAAGGUACUCCGGGGAUAACAGGCUGAUACCGCCCAAGAGUUCAUAUCGACGGCGGUGUUUGGCACCUCGAUGUCGGCUCAUCUCAUCCUGGGGCUGAAGCAGGUCCCAAGGGUAUGGCUGUUCGCCAUUUAAAGAGGUACGCGAGCUGGGUUUAGAACGUCGUGAGACAGUUCGGUCCCUAUCUACCGUGGGCGCUGGAAAUUUGAGAGGAUCUGCUCCUAGUACGAGAGGACCAGAGUGGACGAACCUCUGGUGUACCGGUUGUGACGCCAGUCGCAUCGCCGGGUAGCUAUGUUCGGAAGGGAUAACCGCUGAAAGCAUCUAAGCGGGAAGCCUACCUCAAGAUAAGAUUUCCCUAGGACUUUAUGUCCUCUAAAGAGCCGUUCGAGACUAGGACGUUGAUAGGUUGGAUGUGGAAGCAUAGUGAUAUGUGAAGCUGACCAAUACUAAUUGCUCGUGAGGCUUGACU
rnacentral:rRNA from 1 species